UACGGAGGGGGCUAGCGUUGUUCGGAAUUACUGGGCGUAAAGCGCACGUAGGCGGCUUUGUAAGUUAGAGGUGAAAGCCCGGGGCUCAACUCCGGAACUGCCUUUAAUACUGGGUAUCUCGAGUUCGAGAGAGGUGAGUGGAAUUCCGAGUGUAGAGGUGAAAUUCGUAGAUAUUCGCAAGAACACCAGUGGCGAAGGCGGCUCACUGGCCCGGUACUGACGCUGAGGUGCGAAAGCGUGGGGAGCAAACAGG
rnacentral:rRNA from 1 species